UACGUAGGGGGCUAGCGUUGUCCGGAAUCAUUGGGCGUAAAGCGCGUGUAGGCGGUCCGGUAAGUCCGCUGUGAAAGUCGGGGGCUCAACCCUCGGAUGCCGGUGGAUACUGUCGGGCUUGAGUACGGAAGAGGCGAGUGGAAUUCCUGGUGUAGCGGUGAAAUGCGCAGGUAUCAGGAGGAACACCAAUGGCGAAGGCAGCUUGCUGGGACGGUACUGACGCUGAGGCGCGAAAGCGUGGGGAGCAAACAGG
rnacentral:rRNA from 1 species